rnacentral:tRNA from 1 species
GGAUGUAUAGCUCAGUGGUUAGGGUGCUUGCCUGGCACGCAUGAGGCCCUGGGUUCUAGUCCCAGCACAGCAA